AUGGCGACGUAUCCACCGCGGAGGCUGCUGGGAGCAAGACCUUUACCCUCUGACCGCCGCCGUGACCCCCGUCGCUCUGGCUUCCCUCCGGGUGGCGGCGGAAGGGAGGCUUGCUGCUCCUCCGCGGCCGUUACAGAGAGCGGGGCUUCUGCGGCCGCUACCGUUUCCCUGGGGCCAGGUUGCUUCGCAGAGGGCUCUGGCCCUGAGUCCGAGGGAGACCGCAGGGUCCAGGGGCGAUGGAUGCUCCCGCAACCUCCGGAGCUUGUGCGCGUACUUCAGGGACCGGCACCACGUCACCGUCACCUUCUGAGUAGUGAGUUCCCCUCUGAUGAAACCACUGGUGUAUUUACUCACCAUCCUCACUUUUUUUUUCCAACCUGA
rnacentral:lncRNA from 1 species